GACGAACGCUGGCGGCGUGCUUAACACAUGCAAGUCGUACGGUAAGGCCCUUUCGGGGGUACACGAGUGGCGAACGGGUGAGUAACACGUGAGUAACCUGCCCACAACUUUGGGAUAACGCUAGGAAACUGGUGCUAAUACUGGAUAUGUGCUCCUGCUGCAUGGUGGGGGUUGGAAAGCUCCGGCGGUUGUGGAUGGACUCGCGGCCUAUCAGCUUGUUGGUGGGGUAGUGGCCUACCAAGGCGGCGACGGGUAGCCGGCCUGAGAGGGUGACCGGCCACCUUGGGACUGAGAGACGGCCCAGACUCCUACGGGAGGCAGCAGUGGGGAAUAUUGCACAAGGGGCGCAAGCCUGAUGCAGCAACGCCGCGGGCGGGAGGACGGCCUUCGGGUUGUAAACCGCUUUCAGCAGGGACGAAGCUUUUUGUGACGGUACCUGCAGAAGAAGCACCGGCUAACUACGUG
rnacentral:rRNA from 1 species